UCGAAGCCUAGAAAGCACGACCGCGAAUGAGUUUACAAUCUUGGGCGCCCCGCGCUGCCUCGCUCGGCUGGCGAGGAGACCUGCGCUCUUCGCCUUCCGAAAAUAACGAACCCCGGCGCUGAUAAGCGCCAAGGAACCGAAAAGAGAAGUGCUCGACCCUCCGACCCGUUGAUCGGGUAGCAGGGCCUUGCCUAUUCACAAAAUAUCAUAACGACUCUCGGCAACGGAUAUCUCGGCUCUCGCAUCGAUGAAGAACGUAGCAAAAUGCGAUACUUGGUGUGAAUUGCAGAAUCCCGUGAAUCAUCGAGUCUUUGAACGCAAGUUGCGCCCGAAGCCUUUAGGCCGAGGGCACGCCUGCCUGGGCGUCAUGCACUGCGAUGCCCCCAUGCAAUCAUGCUGGGCGGAUCUUGGCCUCCCGUGAACCCAACUCGCGGAUGGCUUAAAAGAGAGCCUCGGGACGGAAGACCCGGCGACAAGUGGUGGUUAAGAGGCCUUCGGCCCCUGAACUAAGCGCGUCGCGGCGUCUCCCCUCCCUAGCUCGGAAUAGACCUUAGCGGAGCUCUUUUGCGCCGCCAGCAUC
rnacentral:misc_RNA from 1 species